GGCUAGUCCACAGGUAGGGAGUUACCUCAAUUGAUUGUUCACAGUCAGUUACAAAUCGAACUGCUUACUCUGCUCUCUGUCCCCUUCUCACUAUUGCAUUUGAUUUCAUUA
rnacentral:Y_RNA from 1 species